GACGAACGCUGGCGGCGUGCUUAACACAUGCAAGUCGAACGGUAAGGCCCCAGCUUGCUGGGGUACACGAGUGGCGAACGGGUGAGUAACACGUGGGUGACCUGCCCUGCACUUCGGGAUAAGCCUGGGAAACUGGGUCUAAUACCGGAUAGGACCGCACCGUGAGGGUGUGGUGGAAAGUUUUGUCGGUGUGGGAUGGGCCCGCGGCCUAUCAGCUUGUUGGUGGGGUAAUGGCCUACCAAGGCGGCGACGGGUAGCCGGCCUGAGAGGGUGGACGGCCACAUUGGGACUGAGACACGGCCCAGACUCCUACGGGAGGCAGCAGUGGGGAAUAUUGCACAAUGGGCGGAAGCCUGAUGCAGCGACGCCGCGUGGGGGAUGACGGCCUUCGGGUUGUAAACUCCUUUCACCAUCGACGAAGGGUUUCUGACGGUAGAUGGAGAAGAAGCACCGGCUAACUACGUG
rnacentral:rRNA from 1 species